rnacentral:lncRNA from 1 species
CAGCAACUAAGACAUGUCGAAAAAGAUGUUCUGAUGCCUAACAUAAUGAGAAAAAUGGCCAGAGAGAGGUAUUCUGAAAAAGUUCAAGAUUUUACCAAGUGUUGCAAGAACUCUGGAAUCCUUAUGGUGGUAAAAUACUGGAAAUAAAAUUCUGCAUUGAAAGACUGUCUUAACUGCUUACUAUAAUGAUCCAGUCUUUUACAAAGAAUACAAAAUGGAAUACCUGAAGGAAUGUAAGAACUCAGAAAAACUGGAAUUUCUACUAAGUUAAAGCUACAGAAGCUUCCCAUAAGCAUGU